CGUUUAUCCAGAUGUUCAGAAUGUACCUGUAUGGCUUUUCCAACUCACUCCUUCUUGGGGCUCUCCCCCUGUACCUCCUCUAGGUGCGCCCACCUCGUCCACAUGUUGUUAAGAGACCAAAGAGCAACAUCGCAGUGGAAGGCCGGAGGACGUCUGUGCCGAGCCCUGAGCAAAACACCAUUGCAACACCAGCUACACUCCACAUCCUACAGAAAAGCAUUACCCAUUUUGCGGCCAAGUUCCCGACGAGAGGCUGGACCUCUUCAUCACAUUGACUUACGCCGUUGCUUUUCCAGACUGGGCAGAGGGGCUGACUUCGCAGUGUGUGCCAAAGAGCCGGUGUCUGAUAAUCCCAUUUUCCUGAUUAUCACCUGAACUGUGUCAGUAUCACUUUUAGUUUUGUUGGUUGGUUGGUUUGUUGUUUGUUUAAUAUGCCCUGUUUUCUACUUCUGUUGGAAAAUAUUUGGGGUUGAAAUAAACCAGUGGGAGCAUGGGAGCCAGUUUGGUGGUUGGCAAACUAACAGUGAUAGAAAACAA
rnacentral:sRNA from 1 species